UGGUGGCCUCCCCUCCUCAGCCAUAGAGUCCUUCUCAGGGAGGUGAGCAGCUUUCUUUGACACCUGCUCCCAGCCACAGUAUUCUGCCUCUCUAGGACUCAGAAACUUGAAACCAAAUGACCACAGACCAAAACCUUUGAAGUGAACUUGAACCAGCUCUUCCUAACAACACAAAGGCUUCAUAAAGAAACGAAGCAGUUGCAGCCUGCUUUGCCUGAAGGGGUCAUUCUUUAUGAAGACACCGAAGAAUCUAGGAGGUCAUGGACAGGAGCACAAAUAGGGUUUGGGAAAGGACUAGGCUCAGGGGCAGGACUCUGAAAAAAACGUGAAUGCUGGGUCCCAUGCCUCUGCUCUCCUCUGCUGUCAUUUGCUGGAGGUCAUCCUGUGCCUGGAGUCAUCCGCUGCAAG